CGUAUUAGCUAGUUGGUAAGGUAACGGCUUACCAAGGCGACGAUACGUAGCCGACCUGAGAGGGUGAUCGGCCACACUGGAACUGAGACACGGUCCAGACUCCUACGGGAGGCAGCAGUAGGGAAUCUUCCGCAAUGGGCGAAAGCCUGACGGAGCAACGCCGCGUGAGUGAUGAAGGUCUUCGGAUCGUAAAACUCUGUUGUUAGGGAAGAACAAAUUUGUUAGUAACUGAACAAGUCUUGACGGUACCUAACCAGAAAGCCACGGCUAACUACGUGCCAGCAGCCGCGGUAAUACGUAGGUGGCAAGCGUUAUCCGGAAUUAUUGGGCGUAAAGCGCGCGUAGGCGGUUUCUUAAGUCUGAUGUGAAAGCCCACGGCUCAACCGUGGAGGGUCAUUGGAAACUGGGA
rnacentral:rRNA from 1 species